rnacentral:lncRNA from 1 species
CCAAAAGAACGAAGAAGAAGAAACUGAGAGGGAGUAAAGGAAAAACAGAGGGGGAGGAAGAAAAAAUGAUGUUUUUCCAUGUGGCGCGAUUAGGUCUAUAGAGGAAUAAUAAGGAACACCACUCGGCGAACGAAGUCCGGAAAACAGCAGCCGAACAAGGCUGCCGCGCCAGCAGCUAAUUUGCGCCAUUGUAAAAAUAAGAGCGUGCAGUAGGCGAUACUUACACCGACUAGUACCAGAAUGACUCACGGAGCCUGCAGAUUUUAGAUCUGCACAUUAUCUCGGUUUACCAUGAGGUAAGGAAGAAAAUCAGAAACUAAACCAGGAGUCUCAUCGCACACCUGAGAGAAGCGAUUCUGCAACAGAAGAUGAGUACGCCAAAUUGUCGAAACCUUCACGAUGACCAACUGUUGACCCGGCAGACGAAAUGCCGAUGGACGAUGAUUCAGGCAUCGGAAGAUCGCCCUCCAGGUACUGCAAUACUUGACGCAUGCUUGGCCUCAUCAACGGAUUGGCGUGGGAACACAUCAACCCGAGUUUCAGCACCAACUCCAUCUCUUCUUCCACAAACUCCAACCCCAAUUUCGGAUCUCUUGCCUCGAGAAUUGCACCUCUGUCCCAGGAAGAAAAUACCCAGUCCACUAAGAUCACGUCCUCCGUGUGCCCAUGCUUUAUCGGCCUUCUCCCGCAGGCGACCUCGAGCAAAAACACUCCGAAUGCAAACACGUCGGUGCUCGUAGUGGCCUUGCCAGUACGCACGUGCUCGGGGGCCAGAUAACCGAACGUUCCCACGACAUGAGUCGUUUGAGGGUCGGUUCCAUGGUCGUAUAGUCUCGCAAGCCCAAAAUCUCCGAGUCUUCCAUUAAAUUCAGCGUCUAGCAAGAUGUUACUCGCCUUUAUAUCCCUGUGGAUCACCACUUGCUCCCACCCUUCAUGCAGAUAAAGCAGCCCUGAUGCCACUCCUUUGAUCACCCUUAAUCUUUGCAUCCAAUUGAGGGUGACCUUUGGUUGGUUAUAGAGGUACUUGUCGAGGCUCCCAUUGGGCAUGUAGUCGUAAACCAAGAGCAACUUCCUUUUCCUGCGGCAGUAACCGAGCAGCGCCACUAGGUUGCGGUGACGGAGCCUACCGAUGCUGAUGAUCUCCGCUACAAAUUCUCUUAUGCCUUGUCUCGAUUCAUGGGAUACCAUCUUCACCGCAAUCUCUAUAUUCGAUGUGGGUAAGAUUCCUCUAUAGACCUGGCCAAACCCCCCGACCCCUAAUAACUCUUGGUCCUGGAAUCCUUUUGUAGCAAUGUAAAGAUCUUUGUACUUGAACCGGUGCGGGCCGUAGUCCCUCUCCCAAUCUUCAAGGACCUCGGCCAAUUUCCUUUUCCUUCUUAUCACGUAAAUUGCGCCCAAGAUCAUCACCGAUACAACGAAAAGAACCAUCAGUGGUAACCCGAUAGUCAUUACUUUCGAUGUCUCCUUACCGAUCUGAGGAAGCUUAGGAAGUCGGGACAGGUCAAGUGCCUGAGCCUCUCCAUUCACACUGAAGCUCCAACCCAGAACAUAGUGAGAAGCUACGACCGAACCAGCCGCUGCAGAGAAGCCCACAUACAUGUUCUCGUUGAUGAUUGGUGAGAGAUCCCGUCGAAGAGACAGAAGGGGAGUCAUCGGUUUUGCCACAUGGAUCGGAGCCAAUGUGACAUUGAUCAGUUUGUCCGCACCAUCAUAGUCCACCCAAACUUGCAUUUGUUGACCGCUGAUUAGGGACAAAUUGUUGAACUCCCCAUUAUCUUGAUAAUACCCGGCCGGAAAUUCCAUUACUGACGGCAGCCCGUUCAAGUCGAUCCGAUGUGAUUAUCGUUGAUUUCCUGGAACUCGGGGCUGAGGAUCGUGUCGAGUUCUACCCCGAACACAUGAUUGCUAGACUUGCCAUUGUUGGUUUCAUUGAACAUGCCGAGAUAUCGGCCCGGCAGGAACCCGGGGAGGCCUAUCUGGGGUGCGACAACAAAGGCAACGCCGUUGACUCUCACACUCGCAUACGGAGGUCCAAACGCAAAGACUAACGUGGUGGAGAAGGAUUUGACGGUGCCGUUCGGCAAGUUCUUGAACUGGACCGGGUAGGGAUGGAAGGCGUAGCCCUGCUGCUCCUGAGUGGUGUAGUUGUUCAGCUGCAGGAGGCCAUUGGAGGUGAUCCCGGCGAUCCCGUCGAGUUUUAGAUUGACCGAUCUGAAACCGUUGUACACGAAACCGGUCGCUUGAGCGUAAGUCAAAACUGCUAGCAGAGAGACCAGAAAAAGAAUCUCGACGGACAUGGCUCAAACUCAAAGCCCGCUUAGCAAUUAGGUGACAUCUGAUAAAAUUGGAACGAUACAGAGAAGAUUAGCAUGGCCCCUGCGCAAGGAUGACACGCACAAAGGUUUAAAUAGUCCAAAUUUUUUAUAAAAAAAAGCAAGUAACUCUAGUUUUUUCUCUGAACUUUUCUCUCGACAUGAAGAGUUUUUUCUACCAUCAAUGGUAGUUUUUACUUGUCAACCCUAAAAACUGUAUUCCCAUCCGUGUCUUCCACCUCAGCUUCUUCGCAAAACCUAUAUCAUCAGCCCACGCCAAAUUUCUUCAUCUACCUCUACCAUGUCAUGCAUGUUCAAUCACCUCAAUCAGAACAACAUUCUGGUUUCUCUCCCCAAUACCCAAUUAUAUACCGGAGGCCCAUCGCUAAUUACGAAUGUAUGAUAUCUCCGGCUGCUUCUCCAUGGUGUGUUCUCCUUGAAGUCCCCCUCUACGGCAGUUUUUUCUUGGUGCUCUACCGGACUCAUCUCUUGGAUGCAUGCCUUAAUCUACUGCGCCUAAGCAUUCCCAGGUGAUUUACUAACAUGGGUGUCCUGGUGUCUGGUCGAUUCAUCCCUUAUCACUUCUCAAUUGUCCCAUGGUUGGGUUUCUGCUCUCUUUCAACUUAAUUUGUCCGAUUUACCUUUUUAACUUCUGCACUUCACAUCUACGGAUCCUGGUUAUGAAUCCUGAGGAUGAAUCUGUGCGUCUUGCUGCUUUGUGUCAACGUCUGGGUCGCCUUUGCUCUGAACAGGAAAUAGAAACAUGGGAGGAAGAGCCAACACCGGCCACAGUAGCAGAAUGUCUUUUAACCCUGGUGGGUAAAGUUUUCACCCAAUCACCUGUUAAUUUCACAGCAUUACAGAGCACUUUAAAAAGGAUAUGGAGGAACGACCAUGUCAACUUUGCUCAAACAGAAAAUGGUUUAUAUCUGGCGAAAUUUAGGACAGAAACUGAGCAAAAAAGAGUGUUGGAAGGUGGACCAUGGCUCUUUUCUAGUCACCUAGUCUUCUUUAGGCGUUGGAUUCCUAAUACUCCUCUCCAACAUUAUGACUUUACACGAUGUCCUUUUUGGGUACACGUUGUUGGUUUGCCAUUAGAGUGGACUACAGAACAGAUGCUCCGAAAGGCAGUUCACCAGAUUGGAGAAGUUUUAGAAGUUCGCGUUGAUUUUAAAACACACUCGACUUUAAGGGCUGGCCGGAUACGGGUUGCGCUUCCUCUAACUGAGCCUCUAAAGACUGGCAAACUGGUUAGAAUUGAUGGGAGAAUGAUGUGGCUGGAUUUCCGUUAUGAACGGUUGUCUCUUUUCUGUUAUUCGUGUGGGAAGCUUGGCCAUUACGCCUCAUAUUGUGCAGACUAUCCUUAUGAUGAAGCUAAAAAUGAUGGUAAAGAAAAGAUGGCUUAUGGUCCUUGGUUGAGAGCGGAGGUUAACCAAUUUAGUCCUUAUUGGCAAGCUUUCUACAACCCACGGGAGCAUCCUACUCAGAAUGAAGAAACCGUACCUGAGACACCUCCAAACUUACUACCGACUGUUCCUUUACUAGCUGAUACAGAGCAUCGCACUGAAGUUCCAGCAGAUCCAAUUGCUCCACCAGCAGUGAAACAUCAUUCUGCUCUCAGUGAGACUAUCCAGCACUCCCGGCAGCCUUCUCUACAACCAGGUCAGAUUUUAUCAACGGAUUUAAUCCCUGCACAGACCAAACAGAAGGGCCCCAUUAGUUCUAGUAUUGAAAAACCAACACAUCAGAAAAUGCAUGCUCCCCGACUUACUACUAAGAUGAGCCCUCUGAAGAAACAGAAAAGAUAUUCUCCCUAUGAAUCGAAACAGAUCAUAUUAGAGCAUUUUGAUGAUGCUCACUUGCUGGACGCACCUGUUUUGGAUGCAGCAGAAGGGAAUCCGUGGGCUUUGGUGGCUGGCCCUAAACAGCCACCGACUUACAAAUGAAGCUUAUCUGCUGGAACUGUCAGGGUUUGGGCAAUCCCCUGACAGUUCAAGCUUUAAAGGCCUUGACGGCCAAAGAAAAGCCUGAAUUUUUGUUUUUAAUGGAGACUAAAAAUUCUGAGAUGGUUCUAAAUCGUUUGCAGCGACGUUUAAAGUUCAGCCACUCUUUUGUUCAGAAUCCUGUAGGCUUUGCUGGUGGCUUGUCGCUUUUUUGGAAUGAAACUAUUUCGGUAGACAUGGUAUCGUAUUCAGCGGAAUAUUUUGAUCUCAUCUGUCGGGAUGUUGUGGAAGACAAGCUUAUGCGCAUUACCUGUCUUCAUGCUCCUUACUCUUACCAUAAUCGACAGUUACUUUGGGAUAAUCUUCGUCUGAUUAGUUGCUCCAAUACCCUCCCUUGGAUAUGUGCUGGAGAUUUCAAUGAAGUCCUGUACCCAUGGGAAAAGGUUGGAAGGCGGGCUUCGGAAGGGUAUAGAAUGCAAUCUUUUAGAGAUGUAAUCAAUGACUGUGAUUUUAUGGAGGUUGAGAGCAAGGGCUGCACUUUUACAUGGUCGAAUAAUAGAGAUGGUCUGGAACAAAUAAAAGAACGGUUGGACCGUGUUCUAUGCACGACGGAGUGGCAGCUUCUCUACCCUGCAGCUCAGGUUUUUGCUUUGCCAGCUAUGGGGUCUGAUCACAGCCCACUUCUCUUGUCCACAUCGUUAUCUUAUCCCCGAGGUCCACGCCCUUUUGUCUUUGAAGCAUUUUGGAAUCACGAUCCGGAGUGUAGAGCGGUUAUUUCUGACACAUGGGACUCCAUCCAGGUACGCAAUUCCCCCCUUUUGCGCAAACUCAGAAUUGUUUCUUCAAAUCUACGAAAAUGGAGUCGGUCAAAAUUUGAUAAUGGGCACUUGAGGGUGCCGGUUUUACAACAGAAGCUCCAAUCUAUUAUUAACAAGCCCUAUCAUUCCAAAACUGAUACUGAUGAAGCAGAACAGCUAUGUGGGGAAAUUCGGACACUAUGGCAGCAGGAAGAACAAUUUUGGGCUAUGCGUUCUCGUGUUAAUUAGUUAAAAUGGGGAGAUAAAAACAGCAAAUUCUUUCAUGCCACCACAGUGCAACGGAGACAACGCAAUAGGAUUGGAAUGUUAAGGGAUGAGAGCAGUAACUGGGUGAGAGAUAUUCCGACCUUAAAGGACAUGACUUAUGAUUAUUUCUCCAACCUAUACACUUCUGUUGGUUACAGGGACUAUAGACCAAUCCUAGAUCAAUGUCACCCAUUAGUGUCUGCUGAGAUGAAUGUGAGUUUAAUUGCUGAGCCUACAAGAGAGGAAGUUAGACUGGCAACUUUUCAGUUGGGGGCGCUGAAAGCUCCGGGGCCUGAUGGUCUGAAUGGACUUUUUUAUCAGACACACUGGGAUAUCGUUCAGCAUGAUAUAUUCCGUUUAGUUCAGGAGUUUUUCUCUUCGGGGGUUCUGCCGAAAGAUCUUAAUAAAACUGUACUAGUGUUGAUCCCCAAGAUCAAUCACCCUGAGAGCCUAGAUCAAUUUCGUCCAAUUAGCCUGUGUAAUUAUGCAUAUAAGAUAAUCUCUAAGGUAUUGGCUAAUCGUCUCAAGCCAUGGCUUGGGGGUCUUAUCUCUCUGGAACAGGCAGCCUUCGUGAGCGGGCGUCAAAUACAGGAUAAUGUUUUGAUUGUUCAGGAGGUUAUUCAUCAGUUCAAAACAAGGUUCAGGAAGCGUCAUUUUAAUGCACUACUCAAGAUGGACAUGCAAAAAGCUUACGACAAGAUUGAAUGGGAUUUCCUGCAGGAUUAUCUUCUUAAAUUGGGAUUUCAUCAUUCCUGGGUUAGUAUGGUCAUGCAAUGUAUCACUACUUCAUCUUUCAGUGUACGUUUCAAUGGGGUACAACUCCCAUAUUUCCAACCAUCACGAGGCUUACGUCAAGGAGACCCGCUUUCCCCUUACAUAUUCAUUUUAGUGGCGAAUGUCCUUUCCUCCCUUAUUCAUCAAGCUGUUAAUACGAGACAUCUCAAAGGGAUCCAACUUAACAGGUUCUGUCCUACUCUUUCUCAUCUAUUUUUCGCUGAUGAUUCGGUCUUUUUCCUAAAAGGAACACUUAUGGAAUGUCAGAAUUUGGCCAAUAUCUUGAAUCAAUAUUGUCUAGCUACUGGUCAAGUAAUCAACAGGAACAAGUCUGGCAUGUUUUUUACUAAAUCCUGCCCUUGGAGUCUUAAGCUUAAUCUAGUGGCAGAAUUUAGGGUCCCGAUAUUAGCGAAGUAUGGGAAAUACUUAGGAGUCCCUUCUGAUUGGGGCCGAUCCAAAUCAGAUAUGUUUAGCUGGAUAUUAGGCAAGGUGAAUGCAAAACUUGAGGGCUGGAAAGAACUUUUGCUGUCGAAAGGGGGAAAGGAAAUCCUACUGAAAUCUGUCGUGCAAGCUAUUCCGCAGUAUGCGAUGUCCAUUUUCAAACUUCCUAUAUCUUUGUGCCAUAAGAUUGAACAGAAAAUCUCCAAUUUCUGGUGGAGGAAUAAUAAACAGAGGAAGGGGGUGCAUUGGCAAAGCUGGGAAUUGUUAAAGACAGACAAGGUGAAUGGUGGGCUAGGCUUUCGCAAUUUGUUAGCUUUUAACACAACGCUACUUGGCAAGCAGGCAUGGCGUCUAUUUCAACAGCCACACUUGUUAUGGUGCCGUCUCUUCAAGGGAUUAUAUUUCCACAGUAAAGAUAUUCACUCUGCUGAACUCGGCACACGCCCAUCCUGGGGUUGGCGGGGUGUUCUUUUUGGAAGGGACGCCAUCCUACCAAAUGUACGAUGGUCUGUUGGGGAUGGGAAGCACAUCAAAAUUCGUGAACACAGUUGGUUACCCUCUGGCCCUAUUGGCGGACCAGCUACAAGAGACGAACCGAAGCUGGUGGCUGAUCUUAUUGACCCAGUCCACCAUACUUGGAACAUUAAUCUUAUCACCCAUUUAUUUAACGACAACAUCACAUCAGAAAUCUUGGAUAUCCCUAUCAGACCGCGACAUGCUGCUGAUCAGAUAGUGUGCACCGCAACGAAGGAUGGCCAUUAUACAGUAAAAAGCAACUAUAGAACUAUUGUCAGCAAGCCAGUAAAGCCACGGGAUCAUCAUGCAUCAUCAUCAUAUCAACAACCCAGUUUUCUUUGGCGCAAACUAUGGAAGAUCAAAACAAAUCAGAAAAUCCGUCUAUUUUUAUGGUCAGCAUGCCACAAUGCCCUCCCUACCAAGGCAAAUCUAUAUGCUAGGCACAUCACCUCGGAUCCAAUUUGUCACAUCUGCAACCAAAACUCUCUAGAAACAAUCGAACAUUUAUUCUUUUAUUGCUCAUGGACACACGACAUAUGGGAGCAUCAGCAGAUCAGUAUUCCAGUUUCUCCUCUCAGCAUUCAUCGUCUUGAUGAGUGGUUUUCAGACAGAGACAGCAACACUAACCUGUUACCUGGAUUGGAGACCAUCGCCCAUGUAUUUUGGCAGAUCUGGUGCCAACGAAACAAUCAAAUCUUCCGUCGAAUCCGUCCUGAUCCAACCCGAGCUGUGAUCGAUGCCCUUGCCCUGACUCGGAUUCAUGGCAUUUCUUCUGCACAGCAUCAAGGACCGCACGAAUCGCACACAGCGCAUCUGGCUGAACGACGAUCAGCGUUACUUUGGAAACCUCCGGAUCGGGGAUCUCUAAAAUGCAAUAUAGACGCAUCUCAUCAACCAGGAAGUCACGAAGGCAACGUAGCGUGUAUUAGUCGAAAUCAUCAAGGGGUACUCACCGAUGUCUAUACCCGUCGAUGUCCCGCUGCUUCUCCUUUUCAAGCCGAAGUACAGGCGCUAGCUUGCACUCUUAAUCAUCUACUGCAUCAGGGACUCAACAUGGCCAACAUCAUCAUCGAAUCGGAUUGCUUGGCCAUGAUCGAGAUUCUUCAUGAGAAACAGAGCCCCCCGUGGAAAGAACGAGCGCUGUUCGCAGAGAUUUCUCAUCUGCUCUCUCUGUGCCCUAACUUCAGUCUUCAGUAUUGCAAGAGGGAAGCUAAUGGAGUUGCUGAUUGGGCUGCCAAGGCCCACGGUAGAUCAGAUAUGGCCCAUAACUGGAAUAUCUUUCCUCCUUUAAUAUUACAGAAUUUGGUAGCUGCCGAAGCAUUAGCUUCUGGUUGUACUACCCAGAUCUUUUGUAAAGCUACUACUUAGCAAUGAAAUAUCUAUAUUUCUGACCAAAAAAAAAAAAAAAAUUAGGUGAAGAAUGAUGCGGAUUACCAAGGCUAUGAAGAGUCCAAAAGAAUCUUCAUCUGACGGCAUCAAACAAAUGUCGCAAAUUUCAAAAAUGUCUGCUCUACGGGAGACGAAUUGUUCAAUGUCCUGGAUUUUUCAAUGGGCGAAUGCGACAGUCCCUGUUCAUAAGUCAAUUAGGAAUUUUCAAUUACGAUGACUCUGAAUAAAAAAAAAAUCUGAGUCGGAGAAUGACUUUUUUGUCGAAAUUAAGUCUGGUGAGAGAGAUGGAAGGAACAUGGGCGGGCUAAAAUCAAAAGCCCCUCAAUUUUCUUCCGCUGAGAAAACCAAAAGGUAAUUGUGCCACUCGUAACACGAGUGGCAAUGACAUGCUUUUGAUCCUUUGAUACCAAGAAUUGAAGUCUGUCCAUCAAUCUACCUUUCCUACAUGCACCAGUUAGUUCAUUGUGCAGAUGAAUUUUCUUGCCAGAGAAGUUGAAACCAUUCACCGUACUGAUCACAUCGGCCCUACUUAUUAGGGAUGGGCACAAGCCGCAGGGAAUCUAUGUCCGGUGAAUCAAAUCCCAUCUAAACCUUAAGAAAAAAAAACAUAAAAUUUUAUCUUUUAGUCCAUUUCAUUUAUAAGUAUGAAAUAACUAAAAAAACAGUUUCUUCUCCUUACAAGCUUUGCUUUUUACUGAAGAUGCAAGCUUGGAAAAACCGGUAUUCCAUUUUCAUAUUGUCCCCCAGUGACUAUUCUUUUUUACCAAAAAAAAAACAUAAAAUUUUAUAUUUUAGUCCAUUUCACUUAUAAAUAUGAAAUAACUAAAAAACAGUUUCUUCUCCUUACAGGCUUUGCUUUUUAUUGAAGAUGCAAGCUUGGAAAAACCGGUAUUCCAUUUUCAUAUUGUCCCCUAGUGACUAAUUUGUGAAGGUUGGAGCUUGUUUCGCAUUGUACGCUCAACAAAUAAGGCUAUUCUUUUUUACCAAAUGCACUCAUUAGGUCCUUCUUCUUCUUCAUAAAAAAAAAUAAUAAUAACGAAAUAUGUCAAUGAGCCAUCAUGGUAUUAGUGGUUUUUGAGUGAAACAAUUAAUUCUAUGGCAGUGCCCCGUGGCCCCGUUGCCCUGGGAAGGCAAAACCAUCCGGGCGCCCACCCCUAAAUUUUAUUAAGAAACUUUACUACCCUUGUCCUUUAAUAAACCCUAAACCAAACGCGCAUUCAUCUUCUAAUUCUUGAUAGUUUAUAUCAAAUUUAUUGACAUAAAUAGUCCAUAAAUUUUAAUUUAAUGUGUAAUAUAGUGUGGUUCGUAAACUUUUAAUUUAUUCAAUUUAAUUCACGAACUUUUCAUACAAGUUAAAUGUGGUCUUUGAACUAUAUGAAAAUAUUUAAUGUGGCCCAUUUACUAAUUCAAGAUCAAGGACAACAUUGAACAUUUUCAUAUACCAAUAAUUCAAGAAAUAUAUUGAACAAAUUAAAAUUUUAGAAACUACAUUACGUAUUGAGCUAAAUUUCAGGGAUCAUAUUGAAUAAAUUAAACAUUCAAAGACCAGUUUGCAUAUUGGACCAAAGUGUACGGAUCAUUUGUAUCAAUUUCUCAUUUAUGUCGUAAGUUCGGUUUUUUAAUUUUAAAUUGCCAAGACUUCUUAUGAAUGCCAUUCUUGACUCUAAGGCCAUGUUAAUCUAUCUAUUUAGCUUUCCGAGGGAGGAAGUGGGUCAUAAGCAUAUUGUCCCAUGAGAAAGUUACAGUUUACUUGCUUCAAGCCAGCCAAAUUCAACGAGAAUAUGUAAAAACACCAUAAAUCAGGUGACCAUUGAACUAAUUAGGGUACAUGUGACAUCCUGAAUUUCAACUUCGUCUCAAAUGAAUAAAAUGAACAUUUCGUCGAUGCGCCUAUGGUCCUUUUUCUCUAAGCUGAUCACUCACAAGUUAACUAACCUAUUAGGUGAAGUCGUUAAGGGAUAUAAACGCGGCAGACUUGAGAAUUUGAUCGGAAAUCGAUCACUUAACCAUGAUAAUUGGCAAGGGUUAAUACGACACUAUUAUAAUUGAUUUGUGAUCAGAUAUAGGUCGAUUCGACAAAACCAUGUAAUUGAAUUGCGGGCGAUUCUACUUGAUUGCAAAAUUCGCGUUGAAUGGCACUAACCCGAUUUUCCAUCGUUUUAUACUCGGUGCCCAUAAUUGAAACCUUGCGAUUUUUACGACAACCGAGAGUCGUCUACGAAUCGAAGAUGCACAAACGUGAAUUGAAAAUUAUCGACCACGGGUCAAACGGAUUAAAAUCCCUAAAAGCUACCCAAUAUGUUAGGUUAUACUAAAAUCGUGUUUGAUCGAUUUUAACCAUAUAAUUGAAUUCAAUUUUGGGAAUUGAACGUUCGAGCGAGUCACAAUUUAUUUUUAGGAACUCGUCUCAUCUUUUGAGAAAAUUCCGUCAAGCCCAGAAUUUUGCGGAAAAAUCAAAUUCGACAAAGAAAUAGGAGGAAAUUCGUAUGGUUGCCAAAGGGGACUAUUUUGGCCGCCAAUUUGAUUUGUUUUGUGAAGAAAUUGAGAAGAAAUCAACCAUUGGAGGACCCGUGGACUUUGUGGGCAGAAAACUUUGGGGUAAUUGCAGCUUAGCACUCAUUGGCUACAAGCUUGACUAUUUGGCCUUCCUCUCUCCCUCCUUGUACGCAUCCCCCCCCCCCCCCCUCCCAGCCGCUAUUUAUGCUUUCUUCUUCUUCUUCUUCACUUCUUCUUCUCAAUUUCCUUCUUCACACUCAAACUUCAGCUAUCUUCACCACCAAUCCAAUAGAGUCGCCAGGAUUCCAACAACUACAGCCAACACCACUCAACCGUUCCACCACUAGCCACGCCAUCCCUUGUGUCCAGAACCCAUGGACGAGUUGCCAGCCGCGUCCGCCAGUCCGUCUGCUGGCUCAACUCGCCAUCACCCGUAAUUCUAAUCUUGUAUGCCUGGCUACACCGUCACUGUCGAGCAGCCACUGUCUCAGCUACUGCCCGCUCGUCCAAUGUCCGCAACCGAGCAACCAGCUCACUGCCUCCUCAACUAGCCCAACCAACCCCUCAACCAGAACAAAAAACCCCCCCUUCAAUCAUGAGCCUUGUAGGCUUUUUCAGCCUCUUCCGAACCUCCGUUGAAGACGUCGAAGUCACAGAAUCUCAACGCCGUCAUGUCACCAUCGCUGUGAACCCGUCGCCUCACUAAUCCGGUGAGUUAACAUCCUAAUCUUGGAUUAGGAAGUUAAUUGCACUUAGGGGAUUAGUUUAGUCUAAUUAGGAUUAAGGGUUAAUUUAGUUAGUGUAACUAGUUAGCUGGUUAGUUUAGUUAGAUGAACUAAGUUAAAUUAGUUUGGUUAGGUUCCUACCCUAGGUUAGUUAGUCAACUAGGGUUAGUUAGUUAACUAGGAUUGGUUAGUUAAACGUGGUUAGUUAAUGACUGUCAGUUUAUUUAAUCGUGGUUAAGUUAAUUAAAUUAAAUUUAUUUAUUUUCCCAAGAUUUAUUUAAUUAAUUAUAAUUAGCGUAAAUUAUGCUGGGAUAACCGGUUAGUGAAAUUUUAUGCCGAUCGUUGUGGAUGAGUUUAAAUGUGAAAUUGAUUGCUUAAUUGUUCAAUUGAGUGCUUGAUGACGUUUGGUGAUUAUUAUUGCAAAAAUUGAAUUUAUGGUAUUUAAAUAGAAAAAUACCGGGUGUCGGUUUUUUACGCCAAAAAUAUUUUAUGUGCUAUAUAAAAUCGUGAAAUUUUGAAAUGAGAGAGUAUCACGUUUUAUUGUUCGAUUUAAAUGUGUGACCACACACAAUUGUCUUCCUGGAAAUUUUAAAUAUGAAGAAAAUUGGCUAAGUCCAUUGAAAUUGAGGCAUUUGAGUGCAAAGCACAAUGUUCUUGGCCAAGUAUGGAUGUGCAUGUGGUCACUAUUAGAACCCAUCACCCAAUGAGAAUUUGGGGUUGAUGCCUGAUUUUAUCGGAUGCCCGGCGAUAGUCCGAAAGCUGGUCGCGGUGGAGGCCGGACCAAUGCCUCUUUUUGGGAUGUCGUAUAGGUGGGCGUUCUAGACAUUACCGUGCUUGACGAAGCAGGACGACACCCAGUCAUGCCGAAUGACUGCCGAUUGUUGAGUUGGCCGUGGCCGAUGGGUCAUAAUAACUAGGACAUGCCUAAGUGAUUGAGAUAACCGUGCCUUAUUAUGGAGCAAAAUUGUGUGGCACGGAAUGAGACAUGUCAUAAUGAUUUUAACUUUUAAUCGGGACCCCUAUGCUUGUUUGAGAAAUGAUAUGUUCCAAUUAUUAAUUACGCAUGCUACAUUGAUAAAUGUAUAUGUGGCGCACUAAUGUGUAGGGACGUGAUGAGGUGGGGUAAGUUUGUGUGUGAUGCUUGUUUAAGCUGCCUCUAAGUGAAUUCUUGUCAUAAUCGGGGUUUAGAGUCUUAACUCGCUGAGAUUUUUAUCUCACCCCAUCGUGAUUAAAUAUUUUCAAGUCCCUAAGAUGGAGAACCCGAAGCCCAAGGCAGAAGGGUCAUGAGUGUAGAUGGCCUAAUAGUUUCUUUUUGAAGCAGACUUAUGUGAAUAGACCUACAAGACUAACUUGGCGUGUAUAUAAAGUGUGUUUUAUGAAAAGGAUGUUAGCAUGUUUUGACUAUCCCGUGUCUGAUGAUUGUCCGGAUGUUUGUUUAUUUCGCUUCCGCAUGUGCAUAAUUGAAAGAUAAAAAGAAAGGAGUCGGUGAUGUAUCCUAGGAUGUCGCAAUUUUAAUCAACCGCUAAGGGAUGUGUGCGUGCCCAGGUUCGGGGCACGACAAUACAUGCACCUACACAACACCUUGAUUAUAACCCACGUGCACCUAGAAAAUUCUACCAUUUAUCACACAUCUCUCUCUUUUCUGCUCUCUAUAUAGUCGUUUCCUUCCUCAACCUCCUUCACCUCCAUUCUUGAUCUGCAACUUGAGACCAUAGCCACCACCCUACACACAAUCUCUCUCUCUCUCUCUCUCUCUCUCUCUCUCUGGUCGUUUCUGUUUUCUUCUUCUAAAGAUGCUACAAAGGCCCUUACUCAUUCUCUGUGCUUUACAAUGGUUUCCAGGACAGUUUUCCAAGGCCAUCACUCGUUCUCUGUGCUUUUACAAUGGUUUCCAGGACAAGUUUUCCAUCUCCAGUUGCUCAUUCAAGAUGUUCGCCAGGAACACCAUGCGCUUUGUUAUUGGUCUCCAACAAUAGAGAUUCGGAGGCAUCAUCCAAUGUAUGUCUAAGCGAAGUCGCUAUUUGUUCGAGUGCAACUAAGUAAAGAUCAAGGCGGUGGAGCAAUCACCGACUUGAGGAGGUAGGUAUAUCUCCUCAUUGUUACAAUACACGAGUAAAUUGUGUUAGAGAAAUCUCACAUCAGACAAUCAAUGUAGUGUAGAGCAAUUAAUAUAUCCUAGUUAGCUUAUAACUUAUUGGUUUAAGUUUUUGAGUCAAAGUAAAUCAUCUGGAUAUAUCAACGAGUUGUUGAUCUCCCCAAACGAAAAGUAUCCGGCUAGGUGGGCCUUGUGACUAAGGAUGAAGUUGGGAAAAGAGACUUAGGAUGAAGUUGGGUAGCUGGGUUCAGAAAGAAAGACCAAGGCCAGCAGACUUUAUGGUUCGGUUCGGAAAAAUUGAGAUAAGUUAAUGCAAAAAGAUACUUGCGAGAACUUUAUGAGGAUUCCUUGGGAGGCACGCAUGACUUUGAGAGAGGGUUGCAGCAAUUGUUCAAAGAAGUAAAAUAUACGAUCAUCGCGGGGAGAUAUGAUGCUGCAAGCCUUGAAGUUGUAGCCUUGAGGUACAUGCACGUUGGAGAUCUGAAAUUGGUCAGAAACUCUGCUGGAGAUGGUAACCUUGUUUCCAUUAAGCACCUCUUCUAUUGCUGAUUCUGGCGUAGGGUGAGCUGGGGGGUGAUCUUUUGUUUGUUCUUAGAUAAAUAAUAUUCUUUUCAAAAGUUUAACAACAAUAGUAACUUCUUCCUAAGUCAAUUAUAUUUUGAAUCAUUGAAAUAUCUUUAGGCCCGUUUGUUUACAUUUCGAGGAAAAAGUUUCUUUUUUUCUUUUUCUUUUUUUGCCUUUCCCGCCAAAUGUAGGUGUUAUUGUAAUUUUAGGAAACUUUGGAGAUAUCUUUUAUGAACAAGAUAUCAACAUUUGAAAAAUUCUAAAAGUUUUGAAAGCUAUAGACUAGAAAGGGACAGUUUAUGAUUUGCAAGAUUUAAAUUAAGUAAAAAGUAGAAAGUAAAAGUCAUGUGAGUUUAGUUUUCUAUUAGGUUAAUACUACAAAGAAAACCCUAAACUAGUAUAUAUGUGACAAAUUUACCCCAAACUAAUAACAAAUUUACCUUUCAUUACUUUUUGUCAAAUUGUUCAAUUGGAUAACAUGUAACAAUUGAUGAGUGAACAAAUUUAAGGUUUUACCAUUCGUUUGUCGUAGGUAUAUUAGUUUCCAUUCAAUUUAAUGGAAAUUACGGAGGAUAUAUUUGUCACAAAUCUACCGGUUUGAGGUUUUUUGUAGUAAAAAACUUAAUUUGAGGUAAAUUUGUCAUAAGAAUACCAAUUUGAAGUUUUUGGUGGUCAAAAAAUUAGUUUGAAUAAAUUUGUCACGAGCGUACUAAUUUAGAGUUUUUCUUGAUAAUAACUAUUUUCUAUUUUGUUUCCUCAUCUAUCGAGAUAGGGCAUUCUCUAUUUUCUCCUUAAAUUGUUAGAGGUCAUUAAACCAUGUGAGAAAGGUUAACAUAGUUUAUCAAUAUGGAAAUCUCAGUUCCAUCAUCUAAAUUGUAGCUUAAAAUAAUUUUUCGUCUAGAGUUUCUGUAAAUUAAUUCAGUCAAGGGAUUACUUAUAUGUUCUACCAUCAUAUAUCUUAUUAUAUGACACAAUUUUCAUGAGUUCUAAAUCGUAUAGCACUUGAAGUAUCACAAAUUAGACCAAGACAUGUUAAGUUGCCAAAAUGAAAUACAAGGACCGUCGAAACAUUUGAAGAAAGUCUCCAUGAAAUCAUAUGGACUUCUAGAUUCAUCGUGGGAAAAGUUUCAUCAUUUGGUAUUAUAACGAUUGGACCCGAUGGCCCAAUCUCACAAAAACUACACACAAGUACUUGUCACUUAUUUUAAAGGGGAGAUAUAGCGAUCUCCAUGUGAGUAUAAAAAUUUGGAAAGGAGGAGAGCUUUGUAGCUCUUUACAAAGAAGUAAAUUUGGCUAUUCAGUGAAUGACACUCAUCCUCUGCCCUUUCUACCCCUACUUGCAUGCACAAGGUGCAAUCUGGAGGAGAAAGCGCCCAUGGCCGUAUUAGUCCUCGUCAUAGUCCGUGCAUUGGCAGUACUUAUUGAAACCCGAAUCCACCGUAUUGUGAUAUAAAACUAGAAAACAUUGUCAACGUAGAAACUGUAUUGACUGAAUGGCGAGUAUGUCUCUCCGUUGCAUGUUUUGCUCACCGGAGUUACGUCUGGAUCACCCCUUGCAGCACCGAGAAUUAAGAGAAGGGCGGCUAUGACUGCUACUGCAAUUUCUUGAAAAGUGGCCCUUUUGUUGAGUUUUGAUCUCAUGUCUAUAGAUAAGCAGCUUUAUCAAGGGGUUGUACUUGAAAUUAUCUCCACAAAUUUUCAAAUUACUUUAACCAGUAGAUCCGAGGGAUGCUUCCUUGACUUUGUCGAAGUAUCACUUCUUAUGUUGAACUUAUGCCGAUUAUUCAGCUGCGGAAUUUACUUGAUAAACUAAUAGUGUGUUGCGACCUAUCCCUCAGGGGAGGGAAUAGGUUUGGGGUAUUGUCUAAAGAUCGGGCCUACGGCCCAUGAUCAAGCAUGGGCUCUCCCAAGCCCAUAAGGAUUUAUAAGAAUUUUGUAACGAUGAGUCGCCACUAGCCUAUUGGGAUCGGAAUCUACACAUUCUCUUCUUCGGGCGUCGUCUUCUUCCCCGACGCCUUCCUUCUCUCCAACUUCAUCUUCUUCUUCUUUUUCUUUGUUUUUUUUAAAACCCACAUAACCAGACACUAAACCAUCCUUUACGGACACCACACCGCUCCACCAUCGCUCCGGCCAACAGCACCCAACUCCGGCCAACAACACCCAACCUCGGCAACCACAACAACCAAAGGAAAUAACCAUCCCGAAACUAACAUUUUCGAUCCCAGAUUUUUGCCAAACAAAAAGGGUACACUAAAAUGGGAAGAAGUGCCGACUAGGACAGCCUUAAAUCACAGGACCCGCCAGAGAGGGAAGGUAGUUCUGCUGGAGGUCCUUCCCGCAAUAGCUCAAAAAGAUGGUAGACAUGCAACGAAAUCACAAUAAAAUAUACCAAAAAAAGGUGACAGCAGACAUAGUUCAACAAUACAAAGGCAAACAAUCAUCAAACUGGAUUAUUGAACAUCAAGUACUUCGGCCAUUCACACAGGCAUUUUAUCGAACACCUAGUAGGUACUACUGAAACGACACAUUUUGACUCGAUCAAGACUCAAACACACAGCAGAGCAUAACCCUAACACACAAUAGAGUCGACGGAGGAUCAACGGGACUGAAACUCGUGCGAACUGAUCACCGUGAGCUCCGGUCCGACACCUCUCAAAACGGAGCACCCAUGGUUCGAAGGACUUACCAGUUCGGACAGCGAGCCACGAGCGGGCCACGAGCGACAGAGACACUCUCGAUUUCACUCUCUAUAGCUCCCUCUCACUUGCUCAGAAACUCUCUCCCGUGGACUCACGCUCUUGUUGGUCCCUCUCGGCCAAAACCAACGUCGGAGGACAUGGAAGAAGGGGGGAAUCGUGAGCUCCGUUGCACCGGUUUGCGCCGAGGACCGCUGGACGACGCCCACCCGGGGCCAAAUUUUCAGCCCUCUCGCUCUCUCGGUUGUUCUCGCUCGAACUCCCUCAAGCUCUUUCCCUCUCUGUCUCUAGCGCUCUCCCUCUCUCCGCGAACAAAUCCCCUCCAGAAAAGCCCCCUUUCCGUCCGCUUUUGAGGGCAUCGGCCGAUGUGCAUGGCUUCUGCCAUCACCAGCUCGCUGCUCGGUCUGGCCCCGACCUGCGGAUCGUUCUGCCCUCUGCCGCUCGCCAUCCGUUUCCUCUCUCUGACCUGUACUCCUCUUUUUUGCAGAGCGUGACCGGCAUGAGGAGGAAGAAGACUAGCAUGCGGGCUGGGCUUAGAGAAAAGUAAAUGAAGCUGGGCUUGGCCCAAGCGAAAGGACAUACGAAGGAGAGGAGAAAAGAGAAGAACUGGACCAAGUCCGGUCCGCCUUUUUUUUUAAUAUUCGAUUUUUUUAUUUUUUUUUAUUUUACUUUUUUAGAUUUAUUAAUUAGUGAGAGUUAUGUAAAUGCUCCUAAUAUCUACGGGUAAUGGGUUUUAAAGAAAACAUACACAAUACAUUUUAAUGAAAGCUAUUUAUUUAACUCUUUGCUUCCUCAUUUAUUUUUAGCGACUAAUUCUUCAUAUUGUAUGCAAUUAAGUCCUAAAUAAAAUGGUAAAAAAAUUUAGGUGUCAACACAGUGCACAUAUGUUGUCGACCCAAUGAGAAUUAUAGUAAUAUUUGCUACCAUUUCAACCAUAUAUAUUCCUCCAAUUACUAAAGUUUUAUCUGGAAUAAGGUUUUCGUGAAUAUAUUAUAUUAUAUUGAGGGGUUGGGGUUUCACACCCCAAAUCCUACCGGGAUGGAGUAACAUGGCCGUCCUUCCACCCGAAGGACAACCUCAAAACAUACCCAAAGCCCACUUCUAAAAGGUCCCCAUCGAUAGCAUUCUUUGACUACUAGCUACUAACCAAAGGACUUGAAAAAGUUUUGAAAUAAAGGGAUGAGCAACCACAAGCUGAAUAAAUAAUACAUAUCUUCUAAGUAGAUCGAGCAGCCACUAUGCAUAUAUAUAAGUAUAGAGCACUAUCGAAAAAUCAUAAUCCAACUCAUUAAAUUUAUAUAUCAAAUGAAGAACGAAUCGUUCAUUUCAACAAAACUUUAUACAAGUCGGAAAUACACAUUUAAAUCCACCAUUACAAUUCAAAUAUCAAUAGUCAAGUCCAUUGAUUAAUCUCCAUCAAAACUACAUCAAUGGUCUAUCCAUUGAUUCAUCUCAUAUCAAAUCCAUCGAUCGACUAAUCUUUUGCUCAAUACCUAACCAUGGUCAUGACACAACGCCUUGUGACAAGGUGACCAAGAUUCCCCCCUUGGCAAGUGGUAAGGUCUCCACCUACAAAACUGGUGGCUUGGCCCAAAAUGAUAUCCUAAACCCGCCCUAAAAACCUCACCAGGUUCACAAUCAUAUUAAGCAUAAAAAGCCAUUCUUCCAAUUCAGAAAUCAAUAUCAUAAACUAGCCCAUUUCCUAUCCAUUUCUCAAAUUAUCAUAAACUUUUCCAUAAAUUAGUCGCGAAGCAAUUUCAUAUAUAUUUCUCCACAAACUUUGUAUAAAACGCUUUUUAAAUAUUCAUAAUCAAUCAAAGAGUAGUAAUUGCUCAAUCUAGCUUUUAUGCAAUAAAAAUGCUCUCCUCAAUUCAAUAUAUAUACAUAAAUACUUGAACACAUGAUUUUACAAAAUCAAAGAUGAUAUAGUACCAUUUACCUCAUCGUCUACGAUCAAACGACAAACGAUACUCAUAUCGUCGAACUCAAGGCCCUAUCAAAUAAUCGAGAAAUAAUGUUAAAAUCAAAAUAAAACUCUAUCUCAACUACAAAACAACUAAACUAUGCCUUAACUCUAACAAAAGACUCGUACGCACUAACAAAUUGCAUAACUAAAGCGAUUGUUCAAGCCGUUCACAAUAAAACUUGAUCGUAACUUAACUUUCUCCUCCGAACACCAAUCUGAAUGUAGUUAUAGUCAAUAGAAAGCAACAUGCUACAAGAAUCACAACUUGGUCGCCCCAAAUCAAGUCGAUAAAAUGACAAAAUACAGGCCAAAAGCUCUUGAACGCGUACUAUUCACUACAUGCGGGAAACUUCGAAAUUUUAUUUCGGACUCAUCAUAAGCUCAAAUCACAAUCCAUAAAAUCUUAUAACUCCACAACACCCUAAACUAUGAUUUCUAUAAAAAUACACAACUCAACAACUCCAAAAUCGAACUUCACCGCUCGAUUUUCCCAAAAUUCCAAAUUUCAAGCCCUAAGUCUGAAACUACUCUGAUUGGAAGAAUGAGAAGCGCGAUCACUUACUGGGCGUUGCAAAUAAGCAUAAGGGAUUUCCCUAACAAACACACAAAGCCCUCUCUAUUAUUUCUUCUUCUUCUUCCUUCUUCUUUUCUCCUCUUUUCUUCUGCCUGACCUUGUGCCUGAAUGUGGGCUUUCUUUUCCUUUUUAUCUCUUCCCCUUUUUCUUCUUUUGCUUUCUUUAUUUAAAGUGGGUCCCACCACAUUUUCUUUGACUUUUUCAAAAAUCUCAAAUAUUACAUGGGGUACAACUGGAAGCAUAAUAUUCUAGUGAGGACAAGAUCGAAGGCAAAAACUUUUUUUGUUAAUCUCCUCUAUUUGCCACUCAUAAUUGUUGAAAGUCUAAGACAAAUGGGCACUUACCCUGAGAUUUGGGCUCCAUCAAGACAACGUUCAGUCCAAAUCAUUUUAAAAAGAAUAAAGAAAUUUUUUUACCAAACCCAACAUUCAACUACAAGAGUAACAUUGGAGACACGAAGUUGCUUUAAAGACUCACAAACGCAUCAUGAAAGUUGAAUUAUCUCCAUGCAGUCUUUCCACAUGAAAAAUGUCUAUGAUGGACUCCGUGAGAGAUACAGAAAAUGUAAUGGCAUGCUUUUGAUACCCAGAAUUGAAGUUGUCCAUCCAUUUACCUUUCCUAUACACUAGUUAGUUCACCGUGUAAAUAAAUUCUUUUGCUAGAGAAGUCAAAACCAUCCGUCGCAUUGAUCACCACGGCCCUACUCAUUAGGGAUAUGCACGGUCAUAGGGAAUUUGUGUCCCAUGAAUUAACCUCAUGUACACCUUUAGAAAAAAUAAAUUCUUUUAUUCCAUUUCAUUGAUAAAUAUGACAUUCAUCAAUUUGUGCAUUCAUCUUCUAAGAAGUGACAAAACACAAAUUUCACUGGAGUUUCUCGAUUCUGCAAUCCCCACCGAGUUUUUUACACAAAAAUCGAGCGCUACAUCAAAAAUCACCUAGAUCAAAAGAGCCCUAAGAGCUGGUGAACUAGGUCAUCGCCUUGGUGCUGUCCGCCACAACAUGCUUGGCGAGCCGGGAAGCACAAGCUAGACGGCCGUCUAGAUCUCCCAUGAGGUGAUGGUCGGCUUUUGGUUGAAGCGCAUGAGCCACAACGACUCCUGGGCCAGCGUAUUGAAGAUGAAGCUAUUCAUGAUGACCAUGGCCUUACUCGAGAUGCCAAUGUCCUGGUGGACCGGCUUCAGCAUCUUGAAGAUGUAGAUCAUGUAUGUCUCAACGCUCCUCUUCGCCCACUUCUUGCCGCCGGCCCCCUCAUUCGGGAGCUUCUGCUCGACCCUUGACUUCUUCUCCGCCAUCCCCUCCGACUACACUGCUGCUUCGGACUUCUCAGCCACCACUUCCCCCUUGUACUCGAGGAAGCUUGCUUCUGCCGGGGGUAAGGGUGGGGGAAGGAGAAGCGCAAAACAAUACUAUAUAUAUAAAAGAGGAAAACAAAACCAAAUUGCGUUUUCAGUUCAGGUCAUAUCCGGUUUGUGUCGUGUUUAUGUUCGGAGCAAGCAUACAUCCAAAUGGUUCGGGCCAAAUCAAAUUGAACCAAACCGUUGAUACCCUAAAUCUAUGUAUUCAGUUUUCAGGGGAGGAAGUGUUUAAGUAAAAAAAAAAAGAACUCCUAUUCCUUCCGUCCUAAGAAGAUUGCUUCUGUCCAACUCACACAGAAAGAGCUUACGCGCGCGUUAUCCCUAAAUAGAACUAUUGCACAAAAUAUGAAGACCAUGUUUUCUAGCUGAGCUCUCUGAAUCAAAAUGACUAUUUUCUCUGAUUGGCCUAAGGAUGGAUCAAACCCCUCCCAAACGUUUCACUCGACUUACUCCCGCCAGACUCUCCUUGACAGUGGAGUCCCAUACCUCUUGCGAGCUCAAGCCAUUCUUGAAGCAAGAGCUUUAGCUGAGAUUGCUGGAACAUUUUAAAGGCAUUCUUAUCUUAUCCCCUUAGCGAGUAAGAAAGCUGCUUUCGAAAGGUAUGAAGAUAAUAAUGUUGAGGGGUUCUCCUCCGCCGGGUUAGAACUCAGAAGUAGGGGUGAGUGGGGCAGACUGCUUUGCUCAUACCGGAUUUUAGGCUAGGGGACCGGGUAGGAUUGACUGAAAGCUCUCCUAAGAAAUUUGUCCUCUUCCUGAUGUACUAGACUGAAUGGCUAAGAUCUCAUCAUAAUGUGCCACGACAAGUUUAUUGUUCAAUUUGCUUCAGGCCAGUCAAAUUUGAAGGGCCGCGAAGUACAUUGCGUCCAUGACUCGCGAAGAAAAUAUCUAAAAUAUCAGAACUCAUGCCAUCACUGAUUGUAGCCCAAAAUAUGCACCUACACUAUGCUUUGAUUGUAGCCCAAAAUAUGGUUCCGACAUGCACCUAGAAAAUCCAUAUAAGGAGGAAAUAAAAUAAGAAAUUAAACCGGAGGCUCAUCGACCACCUGAGGUGAGCGAUUCAGCGACAGAAGACAAGUGCGAAAAUGCCUUGCUUGUGGAGGACGGAUAAGACAUGGCCAAAUCAUCCAAACCUUCGCGAUGAGCGAAUGCUAAACCGCUGGAAGAAAUGCUGGUGGACGACAAUUCUGGCAUCGGAAGAUCGCCCUCCAAGUACUGCAAUACUUGACGCAUGCUUGGCCUCAUCGACGGAUUGGGGAGGGAACACAUCAACCCGAGUUUCAGCACCAACUCCAUUUCCUCUUCCACGAACUCCGCCCUCAAUUUCGGAUCACUUGCCUCAAGAAUGUCGCCUCUGUUCCAGCAAGAAGAUACCCAGUCCACUAUGAUCACGUCCUCCGUGUCCCCUUGCUUUAUUGGCCUUCUCCCGCAGGUGACCUCAAGCAAAAACACUCCGAAAGCAAACACGUCGGUGCUCGUAGUGGCCUUGCCAGUACGCAUGUGCUCGGGGGCCAGAUAACCGAACGUUCCCACGACAUGAGUCGUUUGAGGGUCGGUUCCAUGGUCGUAUAGUCUCGCAAGCCCAAAAUCUCCGAGUCUUCCAUUAAAUUCAGCGUCUAGCAAGAUGUUACUCGCCUUUAUAUCCCUGUGGAUCACCACUUGCUCCCACCCUUCAUGCAGAUAAAGCAGCCCUGAUGCCACUCCUUUGAUCACCCUUAAUCUUUGCAUCCAAUUGAGGGUGACAUAUGGUUGGUUAUAGAGGUACUUGUCGAGGCUCCCAUUGGGCAUGUAGUCGUAAACCAAGAGCAACUUCCUUUUCCUGCGGCAGUAACCGAGCAGCGCCACUAGGUUGCGGUGACGGAGCCUACCGAUGCUGAUGAUCUCCGCUACAAAUUCUCUUAUGCCUUGUCUCGAUUCAUGGGAUACCAUCUUCACCGCAAUCUCUAUAUUCGAUGUGGGUAAGAUUCCUCUAUAGACCUGGCCAAACCCCCCGACCCCUAAUAACUCUUGGUCCUGGAAUCCUUUUGUAGCAAUGUAAAGAUCUUUGUACUUGAACCGGUGCGGGCCGUAGUCCCUCUCCCAAUCUUCAAGGACCUCGGCCAAUUUCCUUUUCCUUCUUAUCACGUAAAUUGCGCCCAAGAUCAGCACCGAUACAACGAAAAGAACCAUCAGUGGUAACCCGAUAGUCAUUACUUUCGAUGUCUCCCUACCGAUCUGAGGAAGCUUAGGAAGUCGGGACAGGUCAAGUGCCUGAGCCUCUCCAUUCACACUGAAGCUCCAACCCAGAACAUAGUGAGAAGCUACGACCGAACCCGCCGCUGCUGAGAAGCCCACAUACAUGUUCUCGUUGAUGAUUGGUGAGAGAUCCCGUCGAAGAGACAGAAGGGGAGUCAUCGGUUUUGGCACAUGGAUCGGAGCCAAUGUGACAUUGAUCAGUUUGUCCGCACCAUCAUAGUCCACCCAAACUUGCAUUUGUUGACCGCUGAUUAGGGACAAGUUGUUGAACUCCCCAUUAUCUUGAUAAUACCCGGCCGGAAAUUCCAUCACUGACGGCAGCCCAUUCAAGUCGAUCCCAAUGUGAUUAUCGUUGAUUUCAUGGAACUCGGGGCUGCGGAUCGUGUCGAGUUCUACCCCGAACACAUGAUUGCUAGACUUGCCAUUGUUGGUUUCAUUGAACAUGCCGAGAUAUCGGCCCGGCAGGGACCCGGGGAGGCCUAUCUGGGGUGCGACAACAAAGGCAAAGCCGUUGACUCUCACACUCGCAUACGGAGGUCCAAACGCAAAGACGAACGUGGUGGAGAAGGAUUUGACGGUGCCGUUCGGCAAGUUCUUGAACUGGACCGGGUAGGGAUGGAAGGCGUAGCCCUGCUGCUCCUGAGUGGUGUAGUUGUUCAGCUGCAGGAGGCCAUUGGAGGUGAUCCCGGCGAUCCCGUCGAGCCUCAGAUCGGCCGAUCUGAAACCGUUGUAAAAAACGGUCUCUUGAGCGUAAGUCAAAACUGCUAGCAGAGAGAGCAGAAAAAGAAUCUCGACGGACAUGGCUCAAACUCAGAGCCGCUUAGCAAUUAGGUGAAGAAUGAUGCGGAUUACCAAGGCUAUGAAGAGUCCAAAAGAAUCUUCAUCUGACGGCAUCAAACAAAUGUCGCAAAUUUCAAAAAUGUCUGCUCUACGUGAGACGAAUUGUUCGAUGUCCUGGAUUUUUCAAUGGACGAAUGCAACAGUUGUUCAUAAGUCAAUUAGGAAUUUUCAAUCACGAUGACUCUGAAUAAAAAAAUCCGAGUCGAAGAAUGACUUUUUUGUCGAAAUUAAGUCUGGUGAGAGAGAAUGAAGGAACAUGGGCGGGCUAAAAUCAAAAGCCCCUCAAUUUUCUUCCGAUGAGAAAAACAAAAGUUGAUCGUGUCCACGAAAUUAUUUGAGGAAGGACAAAAGGCCACGAGUCCACGACAGAGAGAGAGAGAGAGAGAGAGAGAGAGAGAGAGAGAGAGAGAGAGAGAGAAAUUUGGAUAAUUACGAGUGACCCAAAAAAAAAAACAGAGAAAAGAAAAGAAGACCCAUGACUGUCUAACACCAUUUUUGAAAAGGUAUAAUAAAAGAACUUUCAUAAAGGAACCCAGUCCUACACCAUUUUUCCAAUAAAUAACUUUAAAAAAUCGAUUUCGAAAAAUUAUAGAAAAAAAUUGAUAUGGUCUUAAAUGACCUUACGUAAAUUUUUAGAGAUUUAAUAUAUCUAAUAGCAAAUAAAAGCUAAAAGUAAGAGUAAAGGCCAAAUAGUGAGACAGCUGAAGGCUCGGCAUUCAGGUUUGUAGAUGCCCAUGCUGCAAUGAGCGACCGGAGCACCAUCUUUUUCAUGAUGAAGUACUGAAGUUAAAGAUAAACGCCACAACUUAAAUUGGAUGGACUCAACAAGAAGAAAACUCGUACUUCUUUCGGAUAAAUUUGACCUGUCAAUGGUACUUUUCACCACGAAUUUCAUGGAGAUUAAAUUGUGGAGCACUUGAAGUUUCAGAAAUUAGACUAAGACAUACAAAAAACUCGAUAAAUUGAAAAACAAGACCCGUCCAAACAUCUGGAGGAAGUCUCCAUGAAAUUACUUGGACUUUAGGAUUGUGGAUUUUCCAUUCAAGGCAUCGACUAACUGAGCCCAAGCAACACUUGAUUCCUCGUGAGAGAGUUCCACUACUUGGCCCUAUUCAAUCGAUCCAGUCCACUAAAUGAAGUAUUCGAGUGUGAUCAUUCAAUAAGAUGACCAUUUAGAGGAGGAUCUCACCCCAUGAAUCUCUUCAUGGCACAUUUCCUAAUCGAAGUAGGAUUUGGAGCUAUACCAAUAUAAUUUCAUUCACAACAGGGGAUUUGAAAUUCCCUUAUGUGGGAGUAAAGAAUAUAACUCCAAGAGAGAAAAAAAUCCAAAUUUGCAAUGACCAAUUUGUGAGGAUAAAUACUUAUCGCUUUUUUCAAGAGGGGAGACACAGCAAUCCACAUGGGAGGAUGAAUAAUUUGGUAGGAGCAGAGUCCGUUUUCACUCAUUUCAGAGGAGAAGACAUAGCUCUUUACAAAGAAUAAUAAAUAGCUAUUCGGUGAAUGAAUAAUGUUUGUAUCAGAUUUUGCAAUUCCUUAAUUGAACUUGAGACCCGAUGCUGUAUGGACAUUCCGUAGUUAUCCUUCUCCAAAAUGAUUCCAAGCAUGCAAAGCAGUCUGAAUGAGAAAGCACUCCAUUACAUGUUGCAUGACCAUAAUAAUUGUCGUCAUUCUCCGUGGACAGGCAGUACCUAUCGAAAUCCGAAUAUGUCGUCUAAUCAUAUAAACAACCGAGAACAUGGCCGACAUUGUAAUUGUAUGAACUAGAUGGCGAAUAUGUUGCUCCAUUGCAUAUUUCCUUCACGAGAGUGAUGUCUCGAUUCCUUCUUGCGACAGUGAAAGUAGAAAAAAUCUUGCUGCGAUCCUUUGAAAAGUGACCAAUUUGCUGACUUUUAAUUGUGUAUCUAUAGCUAAUAAGCUUGGCUAUAUAAUGGGGUUAUUCUUGAAAUUAUCUCCACAAAUUUCCAGAUUUCUUUAGUCAGCAGAUCCGAGGAGUGCUUCCUCGAAAUUGAUCGAAGUUCAACUUCUUCUGCUAAUCUUAUUGCCGGUCAUUCGGCUGGGCAAUGAGAAUGAUAAUAAUAUAAACUACUAUUGCAGCCAAACCUUUUCUAAGAUUAGUAAUCAUUUAAAAAAAAAAAAAAAACUAGUAUAAGUAAAAAAUUCAUAUUAUUAUCAUGUUUGUGUACUUCAAGAUUUUAUUAGCGAGAUGAGUGGACAUGCAAUGAGCAUAUUAUUCUCUAAUCUUUUGAACAAAAAACAAAAUUAUACGUAAUGCAUUUUUAAAAAAGUUCGAGGAACAAUCAUAUAAAGUGAUAAGUUACAUAUCAAACGUAGAUGGUGUCCCCAACUCUCUCGCAUGAGUAGAGAUUAUCGCCACGCUCUCUAAAAUGGGGUCAAUGAAAGGCUAAUGUUACCAUCGUUUUCUUGGACUAGGGAAUCUUAGAUGCACUAGGAACGACAGGUAUUUAUCCCCUCUUUAAUUAUCCAUUUCUAACUGUACAUUAUUUCACUACCUUUGUUGUUAUAUAAAUAAAAAGACUAGGAGAGGUGCCAGAGCUAGCCAUCCUUUUUAGGCAUUCUGCACCCAUUAUAUAAUGCUCACUUUGAGGUGUAGUUACUCCACACUACUCGUGGCCCAAAGGUCUCAGAUUAGCAAGUCCGUCACUGCGGUCACCCCAAGAUACUAGCGGUCAAUAAGUCUUUAUACACAAGAUAUGUUGUACUUAGGCAAUGCAGUAGGAGUUAUUAAGAGGUUGCCUUGUAACAUGAAUUGAACUUGUGACUUUGUGAAAAAUAGGUAAUUCUUUUAUUAUUGAACUAAUGAGGACAAAUCCAUAUGCUCAAUAUUUAAUGAAGAGAAUUAGUUCUUGGGAAAAUUCCAAGUAAAAGCUUGAAGUGUUUUCAAUUUCUUAAAUAGGGGUCUGAAAUGAACCUUGUAUCAAAUAAGGGUCUGAAAUAAAUAUGGUUGUUUAAAAAAAAAAAAACCUAAAAUGGCCAUGAUUGUUUCAAAUAAAAUCUAGACCUCACCAGUCGCCAAUUGACUAAAUAUUUCAACAAAUCAAGGGUGUUUUCAUCGAAUUACAAUUUAACUUCAAAUUACUAUUAUCCUUUUCUUUUCCUUUAUCACUUUUCUUUUUUUUCUUUCAGGCGAGGGCUAGCGGCGGCUGGUGAGGGCUAGCGGUGGCUAGCGAGGGCUCAGCCACCCUCGCAAGCCAUUGAUAAGGGCUAGCAAAGGCCUGUAAGCCCUUGUCAAUCACAAGAGAGGCCACCCUCGCUAGCUGCUAGCAAGUAGGGGUGAUUGGUUCCAUAUUCUGGUUCAGUUUCGUCUGAAACCUAGAACUACCCUCGAGUACAGGUUCCUCAUUUUUUGGAACCCGGAACCUACCCGUCAUAAUCAAGAACUUGGGACGUAUCCUGUUAUAGGUUCCAGGGUCAGUUCCAGGUUCCAACAAGUUCUUUCUUCUUCUUUUUUCCUUUUUUUUUUUCAUUUUCAGAUUUGAACUAUAACGUACGUGCAUAUUCUACGGUAACUUCUCACGUCUUAGCAAACAAAGGAGUCAUGCAUUCCUCAUUUUAUGUCCGCAUAUCUCAGAUAAAAUGCCUUCUUCAAUCGAAUCACUAUGGUAAAAUUGACAUCUUCAUUUACUUUUUGCAGAUAACAGACUUCUUGUUUAACCCAUACCUCAAACGCAAAGCUCCAAAGGCCUCAGCAAAAUAUAUGAGAUUAUCUAUAUGCUCCAAUUCAAACCGAGCAACCAGAGCACGAGCAUAAGCCAUUGCUUGCUCCUUCCGAAGCACUGCCUUUCGAGUCUCCGGAACCCGUUGGAGAUGGACCCUGUUACCAUCCAGAGUGAAAUAGUCAAUGAGCUCGGAGAUGUAUAUCUAAUGGCCUAUGCUUUGACCAAAUACUAUUGACAAGGUAGUUUACUUGGAAUUUUCUUCUGAGGCAGUGACAGCAUCAUCAGCUCCAUCAUAUUUUGCUUUGGACUGAGAAGCAACAUCACAACACAGAUGUCCACCAUCAUAAUCUGAUGUUAGCGCAUGAUAUUCCAUUAUUUGCUCGAACGAUCACAUACCUUAUAGGACACAGAUGACUUUGUGAAGUUUCCCUCAGAAACUGACGCAUUUCCUGUCAAAAAGAGAGUACAGAGCUUUCAGCUUAUCAGCAGGUAGGAAUAAAUUAAUGCCAAAAUCAAUAUGCAGUUCAUUAAGGCAAGGUUUGAUUAAGAAACUUUGUGCUUUCCACAAAAAAUAAAUAAAUAAAUAAUGCAAGGCAAUUAAAUUACUUUUUUCUUUUCCAGGAAAACCUGCUCACAGUCAGCACCAAGCAGGUCGACCAAAUUUUCUAUGUAAAUUCAGAAAGUCCUGCUCACAGUCAGGGUAUUCAAGCAUGUAAUGCCGACCCUACCUUCCAUUGCCAUAUCGAUGUUUUGAGAUUCAUUGGAUAGGAUUGAUUCUUGUAUCUGGGAAAUCUCCCUCUCUAAUGUGACAAAUCUCUCUAGAAAUUCAGGCGUCCUAACAAAACUUACAAAUCUGCAUGAAGACGAGAAAAGAAAAACGGAGAGAAAAUUCAGUACAUUCGACAUUGAUUACAACCAUCAAGCAUAUUUUCUUAUUUAGUAUCUUAUCAAUAGGUAAACUGAUCCAUAAUCAGCAAUCAGGUGUAAACGACAUUCACAUAUUAUUCCUUUUUCGCCCUUUCGAUUGAUCUCCUCGGCACAUUCCAAAGAGCAUAACGUAUUUAGAACAAACUUCCAAAUUUUGCAAGUAGUAAGGAAAUAAAAUGCAAUUCAAUGCAGGGACAAUUUACUUGAAGCAAUUGAAAGCAUGGAUGCUUGCUAGAUUACCUCUCCAGAGUGGCUUUAGUGAACUAGGAAGCAUCUGAUCUCAGAGUGAUGGAGUAGCCACCUUUAGAUAUCUGAUCUUUCGCGGAUUUAAGAUGCGAAAGGAACGGUUCAAGUAAUCGCGAUGCCAACUUCUCAUUCGCCUUACCAGUGUAAAUCACCAUAUCACACCUUCCAUUCGUAUAACAAAAAGGCACGUGACAGAGCGGCGUCGGCGAUGGGCAGAGGCAGAGCAUGACAGCGACUGGUGUCAAGCGGUAAGGAUUGGCACGAGCGGCAUCGGUGACUGGCGUCCAGCAGCAGCGGUCUUGAGGGCGAGCGGCAUCCGGCGGCAAGAGUCAGAGCGGCGUCGGCGACGAGCAAAGGUAGAGCACGGCAGCAACGGGCAUCAAGCGGCAAGGGUUCACGCAAGCAACAUCAGCAACUGGUGUCCAGUAGCGUCCAGCGGCGGCAGCCUUGAGGGCGAGCGACAUCCGGCAAUGAGACUCAGAGCGACGUCCGGCGGCGAGAGUUCCAGGUCUAAAAUCUGAAUAGGGAGCACCGAGCAGGGGAGAGGGGGCUCCUUUUGGCUUUUGGAGCCCUGACUAGUUCUGAAACCGGUUCCAGUUCCGCAACCAGUUCCGAAACCAGUUCCGGUUCCGGUUCCGAUUGCGGAACCGGAACCGCAACCGGUCCUUUAAGAAUCAGGAACCGUGCUCACCCCUACUAGCAAGGGCAGCCUCACCUAGGGCAAGGGCAACCUCCCCCAAGGCAAGGUCAUCCCUUGCCAAUUGUUGGCAUGGUGACUCUCGCCUAGCCCUUUUCGGCAUUGCCAAUGGUCGACAAGCCACCAUCAAAGAAGAAAGAAAAGCUAGAAAAAUAGACAAAAUAAAGAAAAUAUAAAAAUAAAUAAGUAAAAUGCCCUUGAUCAGUCGAAAAGUCAAGUCCUUAUAUGAAAUAAGAUCCACUUCAAACCUUCAUUUGAAAUAAUCUAUUUCAAGCCCUAAUUUAAGAAAAUGAAGGCACUUUAGCCUCUUAUUUGAAAUUUUUCCAAAGUUCUUUAUUUUGUUUCUUUUCUUCAUUUUUCUUUUUUCCCCCUCUCUUCCUUCUCUCUUCUUCCUUUUCCAAGACAAUCAAAGUGCCCUUGUGCGCCGCUGCCAGCCCAUUGCCAUCACAAGUCGAUGCCAAUGUGUCUGAAAAUAUCGCAACUGCCACCGCUGUCCACCUUGCAGUGUGCAAGUGUGUGUAUGUGGAAUUGUUGAAAGUCUAAUACAAAUAGGCACUUGCCAUGAGCUUUGGGCUCUAUCAAGGCAGCAUUUGGUCCAACUUGUUUAAAAAAUAAUAAUAAUUAACAAACAUGAUAUCAACUCCAAAAGUACAUUAGAGAUCCAAAGUUGCUUUAAAGACUUUCCUAAAUGCAUCAUAAAAGUCAAAUUAUCUCCAUGUAGUCCAUCCAGAUGAAGAAAGUCCAUGAUGAGACUCCCUGAGAGAUACAGAAAAUGCAAUGGCAUGCUUUUGAUACGUAAAAUUAAAGUCGUCCAUCAAUUUACCUUUCCUAUGCACCAGUUAAUUGACCAUGCAGAUGAAUUCUCUUGCUAGAGAAGUCAAAACCAUUCACCACACUAAUGACCAUGGCCCCACGCAUUAGGGAUGGGCAUGGGUCGUAAGGAAUCUAUGUCUCGUGAAUCAACCCCAUCUACACCUUCAAAAAAAAAAGAUUUUAUUUUUUAUUCCAUUUCAUUUAGAAAUAUGAAAUGGUAAUAAUAAUAAUAAUAAUAACAUAACUUAAGAACAAAUUUGGUCCUUCUUCUACGGCAGUUAGGUCCUUCUACGGCAGUGCCCCACCGGGCCCUUUGCCAUGUGAAGGUAAAACCAUCCCUUUCCUUCCCUUGUUCGUUAAUGCACCCUAAACGAAAACGCCCAUUCAUCCUCUAAUUCUUAGUAUUUUAUAUCGGAGAUAAUGGCAUAAAUAGUCCAUAAAUUUUGACCAAAUUUGUAAUAUAGUCCCUGAACUUUUAAUUUGUUCACUUUAGUUCCCUGAACUUUUCACGCAAAUUAAAUAUAGUCAUUAAAUUAUAUGAAAAUGUUCAAUAUAGUCUUUCCAUUGAUUCAAGACUAAGAGUAACAUUGAACAUUUUCAUAUAGCCUAAGGACUAAAUUGAACAUAUUUCAAAAGUUGGAGACUAAAUUGCGUAUUUGGCUAAAAUUCAUUAACCAUAUUGAAUAAGUUAAAAGUUCAAAAAUCACAUUGCAUAUUAAGCUAAAAUUCGGAGAUCAAUUUGUAUAAUUUUCUCAUUUGCCAUCCUUGACUUUGAGACCAUGUUAAUCUAUCUAUUCAGCUUUCAGGGGGGAGGAAGUGGGUCAUAAGCAUAACGUGCCAUGAGAAAGUUUACUGUUCACUUGCUUCAAGCCAGUCAAAUUCGAAGAGAAAUUUUGAAAAUAUUUAGAAAUCAGGCGACCACUGAACUGAUUAGGGUACAUGCCCACGUGCACCUAGAAAAUUCUACCCCGUCACACGUCUCUCUUUUCUUCUCUCUAUACGGUCGUUUCCUUCCUUCACCCCUUCGCCUCCAUUCUUGAUCUGCAACUUGAGACCAUGGCCACCACCCCACACACAAUCUCUCUCUUUCCCCCACCAAAAGAACGAAGAAGAAGAAACUGAGAGGGAGUAAAGGAAAAACAGAGGGGGAAGAAGAAAAAAAUGAUGUUUUUCCAUGUGGCGCGAUUAGGUCUAUAGAGGAAUAAUAAGGAACACCACUCGGCGAACGAAGUCCGGAAAGCAGCAGCCGAACAAGGCUGCCGAGCCAGCAGCUAAUUUGCGCCAUUGUAAAAAUAAGAGCGUGCAGUAGGCGAUACUUACACCGACUAGUACCAGAAUGACUCACGGAGCCUGCAGAUUUUAGAUCUGCACAUUAUCUCGGUUUACCAUGAGGUAAGGAAGAAAAUCAGAAACUACACCAGGAGUCUCAUCGCCCACCUGAGAGAAGCGAUUCUGCAACAGAAGAUGAGUACGCCAAAUUGUCGAAACCUUCACGAUGACCAACUGUUGACCCGGCAGACGAAAUGCCGAUGGACGAUGAUUCAGGCAUCGGAAGAUCGCCCUCCAAGUACUGCAAAACUUGACGCAUGCUUGGCCUCAUCAACGGAUUGGCGUGGGAACACAUCAACCCGAGUUUCAGCACCAACUCCAUCUCUUCUUCCACAAACUCCAACCCCAAUUUCGGAUCUCUUGCCUCGAGAAUUGCACCUCUGUCCCAGCAAGAAAAUACCCAGUCCACUAAGAUCACGUCCUCCGUGUGCCCACGCUUUAUCGGCCUUCUCCCGCAGGCGACCUCGAGCAAAAACACCCCAAACGCAAACACGUCGGUGCUCCUAGUGGCCUUGCCGGUUCGCAUGUGCUCGGGGGCGAGGUAACCUAUCGUUCCCGCAACAUGAGUCGUUUGAGGGUCAGUUCCAUGAUCGUGUAGUCUCGCGAGCCCAAAAUCUCCAAGCCUUCCAUUAAAUUCAGUGUCCAGCAAGAUGUUGCUCGCCUUUAUAUCCCUGUGUAUCACCACUUGCUCCCACCCUUCAUGCAGAUAAAGCAGCCCAGAUGCCACUCCUUUGAUUACCCUUAGUCUUUGCAUCCAAUUGAGGGUGACCUUUGGUUGGUUAUAGAGGUAUUUGUCGAGGCUUCCAUUGGGCAUGUAGUCAUAAACCAAGAGCAACUCCCUUUUCCGGCGGCAGUAACCGAGGAGCGCCACCAAGUUGCGAUGACGGAGCCGACCAAUGGUAAUAAUCUCCGCUACAAAUUCUCUCAUGCCUUGCUUCGAUUCAUGGGAGACCCUCUUCACCGCAAUCUCUAAAUUCGAUGUGGGUAAGAUUCCUCUAUAGACCUGGCCGAACCCCCCAGCCCCUAAUAACUCUUGGUUCCGGAAUCCUUUCGUUGCAGUGUAAAGAUCUUUGUACUUGAACCGGUAAGGGCCGUAGUCCCUCUCCCAAUCUUCAAGGACCUCGGCCAAUUUCCUUUUCCUUCUUAUCACGUAAAUUGCGCCCAAGAUCAGCACCGAUACAACGAAAAGAACCAUCAGUGGUAACCCGAUAGUCAUUACUUUCGAUGUCUCCUUACCGAUCUGAGGAAGCUUAGGAAGUCGGGACAGGUCAAGUGCCUGAACCUCUCCAUUCACACUGAAGCUCCAACCCAGAACAUAGUGAGAAGCUACGACCGAAUCAGCCGAUGCUGAGAAGCCCACAUACAUGUUCUCGUUGAUGAUUGGAGAGAGAUCCCGUCGAAGAGACAGAAGGGGAGUCAUCGGUUUUUGCACAUUGAUCGGAGCCAAUGUGACAUUGAUCAGUUUGUCCGCACCAUCAUAGUCCACCCAAACUUGCAUUUCUCGACCGCUGAUUAGGGACAAGUUGUUGAACUCCCCAUAAUCUUGAUAAUACCCGGCCGGAAAUUCCAUCACUGACGGCAGCCCAUUCAAGUCGAUCCCAAUGUGAUUAUCGUUGAUUUCAUGGAACUCGGGGCUGAGGAUCGUGUCGAGUUCUACCCCGAACACAUGAUUGCUAGACUUGCCAUUGUUGGUUUCAUUGAACAUGCCGAGAUAUCGGCCCGGCAGGGACCCGGGGAGGCCUAUCUGGGGUGCGACAACAAAGGCAAAGCCGUUGACUCUCACACUCGCAUACGGAGGUCCAAACGCAAAGACGAACGUGGUGGAGAAGGAUUUGACGGUGCCGUUCGGCAAGUUCUUGAACUGGACCGGGUAGGGAUGGAAGGCGUAGCCCUGCUGCUCCUGAGUGGUGUAGUUGUUCAGCUGCAGGAGGCCAUUGGAGGUGAUCCCGGCGAUCCCGUCGAGCCUCAGACCGGCCGAUUGGAAACCUCUGUACAGGAAACCGGUCGCUUGAGCGUAAGUCAAAAUUGCUAGCAGAGAGACCAGAAAAAAAAUCUCGACGGACAUGGCUCAAACUCAAAGCCCGCUUAGCAAUUAGGUGAAGAAUGAUGCGGAUUACCAAGGCUAUGAAGAAUCCAAAAGAAUCUUCAUCUGACGGCAUCAAAUGAAUGUCGCAAAUUUCAAAAAUGGCUGCUCUACGUGAGACGCAUUAUUCAAUGUCUUGGACUUUUUCAUGGGCGAAUGCAACAGUCCCUGUUCAUAAGAAACAAAUCCGAGUCGGAGAAUGACUUUUUUGUCGAAAUUAAGUCUGGUGAGAGAGAUUGAAUGAACAAGGGCGGGCUAAAAUCAAAAGCCCCUCAAUUUUCUUCCGAUGAGAAAAACAAAAGUUCAUCGUGCCACGCGUAACACGAAGUGUCCACGAAAUUGUUUGAGGAAGGACAAAAGGCCACGAGUCCACGACAAAACGACAAAAAAAAAAAAAAAGAAGGAGAAAGAGAGAGAAAUUUGGAUAAAUACGAGUGACAAAAAGAAAAAAAAAACAGAGAAAAGAAAAGAAGGGCCAUGACUGUCUAACACCAUUUUUGAAAAGGUAUAAUAAAAGAACUUUCAUAAAGGAACCCAGUCCUACUGUUUAAAUAAGAGAAAAUAAUACAAAUGAUCCAUAAAUUUUGACCAAAUAUGCAAUAUAAUUCUUGAACUUUAGCCUAAUAAUCAAUGUGGUCUAUGAAAUUUUGAUUUAUUCAACGUGACUCCUGAACUAUUGGUACGUGUUUAAUGUAGUUCUCAAAUCAUAUGAAAAAAAAGUGCUUGUGAGAAUAGAAGUUUAUGUCAUAUAUAUCUUUCCAGACAUGGUUUCUUUUACUAAAUUAGAUCAAAUUUCUAGCAGCAAGAGAAAUAUUAGAGGAUAUGUUAUAGUAGCUUGAUUCGUCAAAUUCUUUAGUAAUUUCUUUUUGCCAACUUUUUUCACGUUUUACUUGUUUUUAAUUGGUUAGUUUUUUCAUGUAUACUAUUUUUCAUAUUGCAAGGAAAAAAUUGCUAAGAAUUAGAGUAUAAGUCGAGUUGGGCAGGGGUUACGUCCAUGUUAGAUCAGAUAUGAGUUGCUUAAUGAUAUUACAUAUUAAUAGGUCAAUAUGGAUUAGAUAAUUCAACUUACAUUGAACUUAUUUUGGACUAAUCUAAAUCCGACUUGACCCACUCGUUUGACGGAUCUAGUUAUGCUAUGGCUCUUCUUCAUAAAUGGGGCAACUCUUUGAUGUUACAUCCUUCCGUUAGAUGGAAAUACUACUAAUCCUUUCUUUUAUUAAGGCUCUCAUGCCUUUUAAACCGGUGAAGUCACGCCUUGAGAGGAGUAUCUAAUAUGAAUAGCAGACAAGGAAGCUUUAACCUCUUUUUCUCUCAUUCGGCACCCCAAACAUUCCAAUCGCUAAUCCACAUGAAAAAAUUCAGUUUGAAACCUUUUACCUCGAUGCAUUAAAGCCCGAGAUUCAUGAGAUGCUAUAGAAGGUACUUUACCGGUAAAAAAAAUCUUCAUCCAGCAAUACAUGUAGCAACUACAACGCUAGAUGUGGUCGGUCUCAGAUUGUUAUAAUGCGAGUAGUAUUGGAUUCACAUGUGUCAGGUGCAUGCCGCUCUACCUCCCCAUUAAUCAAAUCAAUUGCAUCAAAACGAUUUUGCAUCCUUUACAUUUAAAAUCAUUGCUUCUUAUUUACCAGUUAAAACCCUAUACUUCAUACGUUGAAUUUAUUGUCAAACGUAAAAAUUACACUCAGAAAUAAGUUGGCACUGUUAUUUCAUUUUCACAUUUUUGCUUUUCUUUGGAUAUACCUGUACCACCAUUUUAAUUCCCAACCAUCCUAACUCACAACAUCUUAAUCCUCAGCAGCUUUCCUCCCUUCCCUAUGUUCGUAGCCGCCACAAGCCCUGUUGCGUGCCCAGCCAAAGGAACUCACGGCUCCCUCCACCACUAUGUUAGUGCCGCCACUAACUUUUGGCCCCUCCUCUACCUCUCAGCAACGCGAAAACUCGGCGAAACCCAACCCAUGAAACCUUAUAAUCAAGACAAGAGGUCUUGAAGGACCUGGAGUCCAAGUUAUCCGACCCCAAUCGGGGUUGUGGGUGUGAGAGAGACGAGGAGGAGGAGAUGACGGGGAAGGGGGGUAACGACGACCAUCGUCAUCGGCACGGAUUGCAGUCCUCAUGGGAAAAGAUAUAGGAAGGAGUGAUGAAUUUGCCUCCCGUAAGAGUACCAUUUGAGUGAAGGUCGAAGAGGGUUUUUGGUAAUUAGAAAAGAACAUGUUCAUUGAACAUUAAUUUUCUUUUCUUUUUUCGUUUUUGGCUAAAAGAAGCAAUUGGCAUAUCAAAAUCAUAUUCAGUUAAUAAAACCCCGACUGUGUAUCUUCUGAAUUUGACAACUUGAUUUAAUUUAUAAAACAAAAAAAAACAAAAAUUGUAACAUGUCGACCCAAAAAAACAUAUUUGAAAUGAUCGGGAUGCUCCUCUUGUUUCCUUCUUCUUCUUCUUUUCCUUUUUAAAUUUUCGCUUUGUGAGGGGGUAAAAUAAAGAAAAUGAAUUUUGCUAGAAACUUUAUUAAAUCGGUCUCACGACGUACAUUCAUUCUCAUGUAAAGACAGGAGUCCAUCUUCAACUAAGUUUUAGUCUGGACGUCUGCGUGGGAGCCUGACUUUGACAUUGACCAGCAAAGGAUUCAAGGAAUCGAUCAACCGUGUCUUGGCUCUGUACAAUCAACCAAUAAGGCUAAUCUUUUUUACCAGAUCCACUAGUUAGGUCCUUCUUCUACGGCAGUGCCCCACCGGGCCCAUUGCCAUGUGAAGGUAAAACCAUCCCUUUCCUUCCCUUGUUCGUUAAUGCACCCUAAACGAAAACACCCAUUCAUCCUCUAAUUCUUAGUAUUUUAUAUCGCAGAUAAUAACACAAAUAAUCCAUAAAUUUUGACCAAAUAUGUAAUAUAGUCCUUGAACUUUUAAUUUGUUCAUUUUGGUUCCCUGAACUUUUCACACAAAUUAAAUAUAGUUAUUAAAUUAUAUAAAAAUAUUCAAUAUAGUCCUUUCAUUAAUUCAAGAUCAAGAGUAACAUUGAACAUUUUCAUAUAGCCUAAAGACUAAAUUGAACAUGUUUCAAAAGUUUAGAGACUAAAUUACAUAUUUGGCUAAAAUUCAUUAACCAUAUUGAACAAGUUAAAAGGUCAAAAAUCACAUUACAUAUUAAGUUAAGUUUCGGAGAUCAAUUUGUGUUAUUUUCUCAUUUGCCAUCCUUGACUCUGAGACCAUCUUAAUCUAUCUAUUCAGCUUUCAGGGGGAGGAAGUGGGUCAUAAGCAUAAUGUGCCAUGAGAAAGUUUACUGUUCACUUGCUUCAAGCCAGUCAAAUUCGAAGAGAAUAUUUGAAGACAUUUAGAAAUCAGGGGACCACUGAACUGAUUAGGAUACAUGCCCACGUGCACCUAGAAAAUUCUACCCCCUAUCACACGUCUCUCUCUUUUCUUCUUCUCUCUAUACGGUCGUUUCCUUCCUCCACCCCUUCGCCUCCAUUCUUGAUCUGCAACUUGAAACCAUGGCCACCACCCCACACACAAUCUCUCUCUUUCCCCACCAAAAGAACGAAGAAGAAGAAACUGAGAGGGAGUAAAGGAAAAACAGAGGGGGAGGAAGAAAAAAAUUGACGUUUUUCCAUGUGGCGCGAUUAGGUCUGUAGAGGAAUAAUAAGGAACACCACUCGGCGAACGAAGUCCGGAAAGCAGCAGCCGAACAAGGCUGCCGCGCCAGCAGCUAAUUUGUGCCAUUGUAAAAAUAAGAUCGUGCAGUAGGCGAUACUUACACCGACUAGUACCAGAAUGACUCACGGAGCCUGUAGAUUUUAGAUCUGCACAUUAUCUCGGUUUACCAUGAGGUAAGGAAGAAAAUCAGGAAACUAAACCAGGAGUCUCAUCGCCCACCUGAGAGAAGCGAUUCUGCAACAGAAGAUGAGAACGCCAAAUUGUCGAAACCUUCACGAUGAGCAACUGUUGACCCGGCAGACGAAAUGCCG